GCCAGAGAACGGUAUUUUGCAAAAACCCAAGAGCUCGACCGCGACUACCUGCUGUGUUUGCGAACAAGUGCGCGUGCCUGCGAGUCCUUUGUGCAGAUCUGCAUCGAAUAAGUAAAAACAGCUAUGAAGUCUCCUGUUAAAUAUUUUCACCUUGCUUCCAUUACGAUGUUCUUAGGAAGGUUAAUGCUCACAGCUACCCAGCAACCGAAGACGCCUUAUUUUAUUAAUAAGCCUGAACGUGCGCCGUGCAAUUCAACCAGCCAGUGUAAACAUGGUUUGUGCUGCUUGAAGAAAAGGCAAUCGCAGCCAACUUGUCAACCUCUUGCGAAAUUAGCCCAAAAGUGCUCUAUCACGCCAAAAGGGGGCGUAUAUAAAAACUAUUGCCCCUGUGCUCAAUAUGGUAAUACAAAAUCUCUGCACUUCAUUGUGAUGCUUUACUUAAGGCUUGUAUUUAAAAGCUGCGAGGUGCUCAUUUACCUUGGUAAUUUUUAUGCUCUAUCUUGACCCCAAGUGCAUCAAAAGUGCAACCUUACGUAAUCGUAACCUUAUGUUUGAGAACAAAGAGAAACCUCCGCAGUGUACGAUGGUAGUUCACCAAGCUGCACCUUUCGUGCACAAUCCCAUUGCUUGAAAUAAAGUGCAACAGCAGUAGCGGCGUGUUGAUAUUGUGCCCAAACUAUUUUAAUAUUGAAUAUCCAGCGCCUGUAGGGGAGGCCCUGCUUAGACUAGCAAUCACUGCUUUCUGUUCGAUUAUACACUUUCCUGGCGACUGCUGAAUCUCGACAAGCGCAAAACUUUCGCACUUAGAACGCCGUGCGUAAAUUGGUUCGGUGCAUAAUAAUGAAGGUGUCCUCACUCCAAGAAUUUUUACGAAUGCAUAAUCAAAUCUCCGAAAUGGACACCUUUGCCGGAAAACAAAUGUAUUUCCUAAAAUCUGUAGUGUUAUCUCCAGAAAAGGUAAGUCUGAAACCAAGGCUCCAUAAUAAAACAUCCGAGCAUCCAUUCCUGUCAUGGUAUCAGUUUGAGCUUUCUAAGACACUUUGUAUGAUAUCCUUUGCUACUGUAGUGUCAACACAAAGCGAAAACUAACUUUACAAGUAUGCCUUUCUUUUCGCGCUCCUUUCGGUCUUAUUCCUUAUCUUUUUCGUCGUUCGAAAAUUUUAUUACGACCAUUUGUCCAAGUUAUGGGCAUCCUCGGGAGGCUUUCACAGGUAACAUAUUUUGGAGAGUUUCAUCUCUCUCUUAAGAAAAGUCAAAUAAGACAAAAAAUUAUCCCAUCACAGUAUUUCUUUGUAUAUGAACGUUUUGAGAAUUGCAAGAAGUAGUAUACUGCGUAACACAUUUUAACUAUAGUUAUGGCCAUUAUAUGCACUCUAAUUAUAAAUUAUACAUAUUAGGACACAGAGAGCUACAUAUUAAAGGCAGUGCCAAAAUAAAUACUUUUCUUUUACUUCUUCUAGGCGCAAAUAUAUCCGAGAAAUGCAAAAUUUCCAUACAGAUAUUGUUCUUGUCGGACAACAAAAGGGUACUGAUGGUUAUGACGUACGCUGACGCAGCUUGUUGUCAACUUUUUGCACAGCUUGCCUACCUUGCAGCGUACUGUUCGGGACGAAAGGAGGGAAAUCUGCGCUUAAAACGUGCGACAAAUCUCUAUAACUUCGCUCUCUCUCGACAGAUUCUUACAAUUUUUGCGGCGAUUUCUUCGUGAUGAGAUAAGAUCCGAUACUGAGGUCACUUGAUGUUUUAUUUGAAAAUCACUUCAAGGGCCAGCUCGCUGCCUUGUCACCAGCCAUAUAUGUGUACUAGCACAGCAUGGGCCCCCAGCCUGGGCCCUCCUAAAUAAAACAUGGGCACUACU